rnacentral:rRNA from 1 species
AUGAACGCUGGCGGCGUGCCUAAUACAUGCAAGUCGAGCGAACAGACGAGGAGCUUGCUCCUCUGACGUUAGCGGCGGACGGGUGAGUAACACGUGGAUAACCUACCUAUAAGACUGGGAUAACUUCGGGAAACCGGAGCUAAUACCGGAUAAUAUAUUGAACCGCAUGGUUCAAUAGUGAAAGACGGUUUUGCUGUCACUUAUAGAUGGAUCCGCGCCGCAUUAGCUAGUUGGUAAGGUAACGGCUUACCAAGGCAACGAUGCGUAGCCGACCUGAGAGGGUGAUCGGCCACCCUGGAACUGAGACACGGUCCAGACUCCUACGGGAGGCAGCAGUAGGGAAUCUUCCGCAAUGGGCGAAAGCCUGACGGAGCAACGCGGCGUGAGUGAUGAAGGUCUUCGGAUCGUAAAACUCUGUUAUUAGGGAAGAACAAAUGUGUAAGUAACUAUGCACGUCUUGACGGUACCUAAUCAGAAAGCCACGGCUAACUACGUG